rnacentral:rRNA from 1 species
AGCAGCCGCGGUAAUUCCAGCUCCAAUAGCGUAUAUUAAAGUUGUUGCAGUUAAAAGCUCGUAGUUGAACUUCGGGGUUCCCCAUUGGUCAGGCUUAACUGUCUGUACUGGUGGGAGGGAUCCUUACCUCCUGAGGAAUCUCCAUGCCAUUAAUUUGGUGUGGUGGGGAAUCAGGACUAUUACUUUGAAAAAAUUAGAGUGUUUAAAGCAGGCUAACGUCUGAAUACAUUAGCAUGGAAUAAUGAAAUAGGACGGCUUGGUUCUAUUUUGUUGGUUUCUAGGAUCACCGUAAUGAUUAAUAGGGAUAGUUGGGGGCAUUAGUAUUCAAUUGUCAGAGGUGAAAUUCUUGGAUUUAUUGAAGACUAACUACUGCGAAAGCAUUUGCCAAGGAUGUUUUCAUUAAUCAAGAACGAAAGUUAGGGGAUCGAAGACGAUCAGAUACCGUCGUAGUCUUAACCAUAAACUAUAGCCGACUAGGGAUCGAACAAGUAAUUUUAAAUGACUCGUUAGGCACUUCGGG